rnacentral:rRNA from 1 species
GACGAACGCUGGCGGCGUGCCUAAUACAUGCAAGUCGAACGCUUCUUUCCUCCCGAUGGCUUGCACUCAAGUGGAAAGAGGAGGGGCGGACGGGGGAGUAACACGUGGGUAACCUACCCAUCAGAGGGGGAUAACACUUGGAAACAGGUGCUAAUACCGCAUAACAGGUUAUGCCGCAGGGCAUAAGAGUGAAAGGCGCUUUCGGGUGUCGCUGAUGGAUGGACCCGGGGUGCAUUAGCUAGUUGGGGAGGUAACGGCUCACCAAGGCCACGAUGCAUAGCCGAACGGAGAGGGUGAUCGGCCACACUGGGACUGGGACACGGCCAAGACUCCUACGGGAGGCAGCAGUAGGGAAUCUUCGGCAAUGGACGAAAGUCUGACCGAGCAACGCCGAGUGAGUGAAGAAGGUUUUCGGAUCGUAAAACUCUGUUGUUAGAGAAGAACAAGGACGUUAGUAACUGAACGUCGCCUGACGGUAUCUAACAAGAAAGCAACGGCUAACUACGUG